GUAGGGGCCUAGCGUUGUCCGGAUUUAUUGGGCGUAAAGAGCUCGUAGGCGGUUCGGCAAGUCGGAUGUGAAAUCUCCACGCUUAACGUGGAGGGGCCAUUCGAAACUGCCGUGACUCGAGUCCGGUAGGGGAGUGUGGAAUUCCUGGUGUAGCGGUGAAAUGCGCAGAUAUCAGGAGGAACACCAGUAGCGAAGGCGGCACUCUGGGCCGGUACUGACGCUGAGGAGCGAAAGCGUGGGGAGCGAACAGGAUUAGAUACCCUGGUAGUCCACGCCGUAAACGUUGGGCACUAGGUGUGGGACUCUAUCGACGGGUUCCGUGCCGUAGCUAACGCAUUAAGUGCCCCGCCUGGGGAGUACGGCCGCAAGGCUA
rnacentral:rRNA from 1 species